UUUAUACUCCCUCCGUUCGGAAUUACUUGUCACAAAAAUGGAUGUACCUACAACUAAAAUACAUCUAGAUACAUUCAUUUCUUGGACGAGUAAUUCCGAACGGAGGGAGUAGUAG
rnacentral:pre_miRNA from 1 species